AUGUUAAUACAAACAAUGGCUCUGUGCUUUUCCCUGGCAUUGAUGGCCUUGCUGUGCUGGGGGAGCUAUCUUGUGGAGACAAUGAGGGAAUACAUCUCUCUCUUCCUACCCGGGAUUGAUGUGGAUUCUUUUAUUAUGCAGGCUCCCACAGUCCUUGCUCAUCCUUACAUGAUCUGUUUAAUUAGUACUGUAAGCAUAUCAUGGGCUUUGUGGAAUCUGGUAUCAUGGUGGUGUACGAGAAAACAAAUUUUGAGUGAGGUGAUACCAAAAUGUUCCCCGAAGAAGUCAGUUCCUGGGUGGCAGGGUGUGUGGAAGGAUUUGGGCAGGUUCCUAGGGCGGUUAUCACCUCCCAUUGCCUGGGAGUUUACACCUGAGCAGGUAAUCAACCCUGACAAACUGACCUGUCAGCUGAUAGAGGGGUGCCUUGCCCAACCUGAUGAAAACCAGCAGCUUCUGGCCCUGUGCUGGGGCCUGGCCUGUGCCUACCGAGCCACUGUUCAGCACUCCCAGAGGACUGUGACCGAGGCAGGGACCCAAACUGUGUUUGAGAACAUGAUGGUUGAGACAGGAACCCAGACCACAACAACCACUGUAACUGUCCCUGUAAUGGAAAAGAAAAGGUGGACAAGGAGAGUUACAAGUCUUUAUCAUCAAUUAGAAAGGGAGGAAGAAGAAGAAGAGGAAAAAAAAGAAGAGGAGAAAGAAAAAGCAAAGGAAGAAAAAGAAGAAAAAGCAAAGGAAGAAAAAGAAGAAAAAGCAAAGGAAGAAAAAGAAGAAAAAGCAAAGGAAGAAAAAGAAGAAAAAGCAAAGGAAGAAAAGGAAGAAAAAGCAAAGGAAGAAAAAGCAAGAGAAAAAGCAAAAGAAGAAAAAGAAGAAAAAACAAAGGAAGAAAAAGAAGAAAAAGAAAAGGAAGAAAAGGAAGAAGAUAAAAAAGAAGAGGAAGAAGAAAAAGGAGAAAAGGAAGAAGAAAAAGAAAAAGAGGAAGAAGAAGAAAAGGAUGAAGAAGAAGAAAAAGAAAAACAAGAAGAAUCAUCAGGAAAGGAAGGGUCUGAUCAAGAAACCAGUCCUGCAACAAAUAAAUCAAAGAAAGGAGUGAAAGAAUUCAAACAGGAGACAGAAAUUACCCAGUCUCUGACAUCAUCAGAACUUCAAGAUUUGCAGAAAGAUUACAGCCGCCAGCCAGGUGAGCGGAUUUCUGCUUGGCUGCUUCGAUGCUGGGAUUGUGGGGCUAAUGGUCACCUACUGGAAGGUAGGGAAGCCCAACAGCUGGGAUCCCUUGCUAGAGAUCGAGGAAUUGAAAGAGGAAUUGGAAAAGAGACAGCAAUCUGCAGUCUCUGGAGACGACUCCUCUCAAGUGUGAAGGCAAGACAUCCAUUUAAGGAAGAUCUUGUGAACUCCCCAGGAAAGUGGACCACGGCAGAUGAAGGUAUCCAAUACCUGAGAGAAUUAGCAGUGCUGGAAAUCAUCUAUAGUGAUUUAAAAAAUGAUAACAUCUCUAAAGAUCCAGAGGAUGUCCCUUGCACAAUGGCCAUGUGGAGGAAGGUAAUCCAAAGUGCCCCUGCAUCAUAUUCUAACAGUUUGGCAGCAAUGUAUUACCCAGAAAUGGAGACACCAACUGUAGAGAGAGUGUCUCUUUGGCUCCAAAACUUAGAAGAAACUCUUUGUACCUCCUCAUCCCUACAGGCCAGCACCUCAGCUGUCAAGGGUAGUCCAAGAAAUCAGUCUUCUCCUGCCCUGAUCAGAGGGAAAGAGAGCCCCAGACACAUGACACGUGGUGCACUGUGGUUCUUUCUGUGUGAUCAGGGGGAAGACAUGAGGAAGUGGGAUGGUGAACCCACCUUUAAGCUGGAAGCCCGUGCCCGUGAACUGAGAGAGAAAAGAGCGGAGAAAGAAGAAAGCUGUGAGAGAAGAGAGAAGAAGGGCCAUCCAACAAAGCUGUCAGUGUAG
rnacentral:lncRNA from 1 species